CUAAAAAGGUAUGAAACCAAGGAGGCAAGGCGCCCUCGGACUGCACAGGCUCUCCCCUCCUCUUGCUUGAGAUUAGAGGGGAGGGGGUAAAGGCAGGACAUCCAGAGGCAUCCAGCCAGGAUUUUAGCACCAGUAAAGCCAAGGAAUGAAUGAAUGGCCACAGGCUACUCUGCAGGGCACUCACAGCCUCGCCUUCACCAAGGGUGUUUGAUAGGUGCCCUUGGGGCAAUGGGCUUCACAGAGCAGCUGUCCUCAGGAAACUUACCAGGAGAGGGAAGAAGGU
rnacentral:lncRNA from 1 species